rnacentral:rRNA from 1 species
AUGAACGCUGGCGGCGUGCUUAACACCUGCAAGUCGAACGAUGAAGCCCAGCUUGCUGGGUGGAUUAGUGGCGAACGGGUGAGUAACACGUGAGUAACCUGCCCUUAACUCUGGGAUAAGCCUGGGAAACUGGGUCUAAUACCGGAUAGGAGCGUCCACCGCAUGGUGGGUGUUGGAAAGAUUUAUCGGUUUUGGAUGGACUCGCGGCCUAUCAGCUAGUUGGUGAGGUAAUGGCUCACCAAGGCGACGACGGGUAGCCGGCCUGAGAGGGUGACCGGCCACACUGGGACUGAGACACGGCCCAGACUCCUACGGGAGGCAGCAGUGGGGAAUAUUGCACAAUGGGCGCAAGCCUGAUGCAGCGACGCCGCGUGAGGGAUGACGGCCUUCGGGUUGUAAACCUCUUUCAGUAGGGAAGAAGCGAAAGUGACGGUACCUGCAGAAGAAGCACCGGCUAACUACGUG